rnacentral:rRNA from 1 species
UACGGGGGGGGCAAGCGUUGUUCGGAAUUACUGGGCGUAAAGGGUUCGUAGGUGGCCAACUAAGUCAGACGUGAAAUCCCUCAGCUUAACUGGGGAACUGCGUCUGAUACUGGAUGGCUCGAGUGCAGGAGAGGAACGCGGAAUUCCAGGUGUAGCGGUGAAAUGCGUAGAUAUCUGGAGGAACACCGGUGGCGAAGGCGGCGUUCUGGACUGUAACUGACACUGAGGAACGAAAGCCAGGGGAGCAAACGGG